GAGGAUCGUCCCCGUCCAGGUCGUCGUCCAGCACGUCGUUGAACGGAUCCUGGGCCUCGGACAGCGCCUGGUGGCGGGAGGUUAUCCGACAUUCAGCGCAUCUCAUAAGACCUGACAUGUCUCUGCAAGAAUGCCUGUAAACUGACCUCGAGGCAGCUGGGCGAACCGUUCGCAGGCUGACCACACGCCUCCUGUGGACGUCAGCUGUUCCUGGCUCAGACUAGAGGAAACGAGAGGACAGAAAAAAGAAGUCUGAGCAUGCCAGAAAGUUUACUGUAGAGCUGCAAGAUGUGAGAAAAAUAAAUAAGUAAAUUAAUCUAACAAA